GUGAGAUUGAGAGGCAAAACAGCCUUUGAGCUGUUUUGCUUUGCACAGCAGGGGUGAAAGUAAAAAGAUGAGCAGGAUCUUCUGGAGAUCAGCAGUGAUCCUCAAGCUAAAGGACAAAAGAAUGUGAUGUGUGGAUGGAAGACCUGUCCCCAAAGCACCUGUCCCCCAAACACCUGCAGCCUUUUGCACACCUGCCAACUAACCACCCAACACGUAACCUUUCUUCCUGAAUGAGGCUGGGGCAAGAUGCUCAAAGCUGCAUUUUCUGGAGCACGUGUCUGGCUUGCUGUGAUAUGUGGUAAAUUAUGUAUAACCAGAUGACCACAAACACUUGUUAGAAGAGUGCUGGGAUCGUUCCCCUCUGCUCACAUAUGGAUUUGAUGAGAGCCCAAUAUUCCAAAGUACUGGAUGUGCUCCUUUCCUUGGAUGGGGCAGGACUCUUGUUGGCGUCUAUAGGAUCAGGGACUGUAAGAGCAGGUAACCACACACAGUUGUUUACUGCAAAAUAAAACAUGUGCAAAUUCUUCCCUAGUACAGAAAAAUCUAUUUUCAUGUGGCCUUGUCUUUGAAAAUGAGACUUUACAGAGGAUGAGGAAGGGACUGGGAUAGGAUACUCUGUGCUGUAAACUCAGCUUAAAAAUCUGAGCAAUAGUGUCUUUCACAGG